AACGAACGCUGGCGGCAUGCCUAACACAUGCAAGUCGAACGCGUGGCUUCGGCCACGAGUGGCGCACGGGUGAGUAACGCGUGGGAACCUGCCCCGAGGUGGGGGAUAACCGAUGGAAACGUCGGCUAAUACCGCAUACGUCCUAAGGGAGAAAGAUUUAUCGCCUUGGGAGGGGCCCGCGUCGGAUUAGCUAGUUGGUGGGGUAACGGCCUACCAAGGCGAUGAUCCGUAGCUGGUCUGAGAGGAUGAUCAGCCACACUGGGACUGAGACACGGCCCAGACUCCUACGGGAGGCAGCAGUGGGGAAUAUUGGACAAUGGGCGCAAGCCUGAUCCAGCAAUGCCGCGUGAGUGAUGAAGGCCUUAGGGUUGUAAAGCUCUUUCGGCGGGACGAUGAUGACGGUACCCGCAGAAGAA
rnacentral:rRNA from 1 species